rnacentral:rRNA from 1 species
GAGUUCUUCGGAACAAACCUAGCGGCGGACGGGUGAGUAACACGUGGGUAACCUGCCUCAGUGAGGGGGAUAGCCUUCCGAAAGGAAGAUUAAUACCGCAUAAUAUUUGAUGAUCGCAUGAUCGUUUAAUUAAAGGAGUAAUCCGCACUGAGAUGGACCCGCGGCGCAUUAGCUAGUUGGUGAGGUAACGGCUCACCAAGGCCACGAUGCGUAGCCGACCUGAGAGGGUGAUCGGCCACAUUGGAACUGAGAUACGGUCCAAACUCCUACGGGAGGCAGCAGUGGGGAAUAUUGCACAAUGGGCGAAAGCCUGAUGCAGCAACGCCGCGUGAGUGAUGAAGGCCUUCGGG